rnacentral:tRNA from 1 species
GGAGCUACACAUAGUAGCGCACCACUUUGGGGUAGUGGGGGUCGUGGGUUCAAAUCCCGCCGCUCCG